UACCAGCUGUCAAUAAUGUUUCAAGUUCACAGCGCGGGCUACACAGCAGAGACACCGCGGACAUUGUAUUAUUGCUAGAGAAAAAAAACCUGCCAAAAUGAGAAGUUCCGCCUUUGACUAUAACGUGGUAUACUGAAAAAAAGAGAAAACAAAGAGUGCUGAAGAAAAGUUUAAGACCAAAAAGUAACUGAACCGAGCGAGAGACAAGAUGGCGAGAUCUGAGGGACUUGAACUUCAAGGGCUUUAGAAGUGACGCUGAGCUUGCGGUAUAUCUCCUGGACAGCUGCACUUGAGAACACGCCCAUCGUUCAUCAAGGCCACAGACGGACAGGAGCGGAUGUGGUUCAAGACUAGCAUGUCCUGACAUCCAGUGUUAUCUCAUCUCUUUCAGAGUGACGUUAUUUUGCAGCGAGGAUUCAUGCGACUAGACGACACCUAAAAUACCACGAAGGUCCAUAAGUCAAGUAGAGCGCCAUGGCAACACCUAGCAUCGAUGCUCCGCUCACCUAAUCCCAGUGCAUAGAAAUGCGGGCGAGCGGUCAAAGAGUGAGCUCCGGCGAGCAUCAAGGUGAUGGCUAAGAGCAAGAAUCGUUCCUUUUUUUUUCCCCCGGAAAAUUGCCAUAUUGAACGAAAAAUGCCGGAAUGGGGACCAUGGGAAGGACAAUUUCAUGGCCAUUCAAAGACUGAAAUACGUUUCGAAAGAGAGCGAAACAAUUUCUCAUCUGGGAGCCGCAGUCACGGUGCCAAGUUUAUUUACUGAGGAGUCAGAUGUCUGCACUAAGUCAUCAGGAAAUCUGAUUCUCAACAGGACAGUGCGGCGAUGCUCCAGUGAACCUCGCCCGCGCCGGCACCGCUGCCAGGUACGGGGCUGCCACGGCCCAUUACGCUGAAGAGGGGCACCUAGCGGAGGGGGCGCGUCCCGCCAACCUGCCAGGGCCAGGGGUCUGCGGAGCGAGAGCCGCGGGGGCGCGGGGACAGGGCAGGAAUUUGAUGUCGGAGCCAAAUGUGUUAUCAAUGCCAGGGGACCUUUCCCCGACUCGCCCGCCGAAAAUGGAUGAUCAGUAGAACCCCAACAUCUGUCAGCCCCUGUGCUGGGGUUGCGCAUCGUCGUCCCGAGCCGUCGUGCGCGGCGAAACGGCCGCCUAUCCCUUCCGCGCCGGCCCAGGCGUUAGGCGUCCUCAGCGCCGGGUGUCGACCCGCGAGGACCUGAUCGGGGCCAGCCAGGAGUAAGCGGCAGCCGUCCGGCGCGCUGGUGCGGCUCCUGCCUUCAGUCUCCUAGCGCUGAGGUGCUCCGGCAGUAAGGGACGCUACUUCAUGUUGAAUACAAUGAGCUUGAUUGACCGAUGGCUCGAUGGAUGAUUGAUUGGCUAACCACUUGAUUAAUUGACAAGUGGUACAUUUGUUUCCCGUGUCAUGGAAGAACCUCUUACCAAAGCAACAUCCGCUGGUUUCUUUUGUCCAACAUAUUUAUUGAGUCACUCGAUGCAUAUUUUUGACCAUUAAGAGCUGGGGUAGGGUACAAGCUGAACAAACAAAACAAUAUGACCUGUGAGGUAGUUCAGGAUGGUCAUUCUCCCAGGACUUAAGACAUUGUUUCCAGUUGAGUGAAGACCCUUGAUAAAUUCUGAUCUAAGAAACCCAGAAGUUAGGUCUACUCAAACAUCGGGCGCUCGUGCAGUUCAUUUACAAAACUGCGUUGCUCUCCGGCCACCGUCCCCCCCUGACGUUGCCUCCAUAGACGCGUCCUUUCCAUCGGCGUUAAACGGCGUCUCUGGGUGCGUGCGCUUUGGUCUGGAGGACGCGCGCGAGCGGCGGGACUGACUCCGGAGCCGAAAGCGGCCGAAUUAAUCUCCCGGACGGGAGCGCUGACAGGAGCCUGAUUACGGGGAGUCUCCCGGCUGCCCCGGGCGCACCCCCGAGAAGGGGAAAGGUUAAUGCAGACGUCUCGCAGUCUUCACAACAACGCGGGGCUUCCCGGACCCGGCCGCCAGCCGCCGGCUCUUCAUAUUCCCCCUGCCCCGGAGAGGGGAUGACCACCGGCGGGGCGCUUCGCUUCGCCUUCAUUUACUUAACGGACCCCGACGUCCCGGCUGGCUCGUGCGGCGUUCGGCGCUCACCCGCUAGCCUUUUUGGUGAAGCGACGCGCUCACUGAGACUGUUAGAGGGGCCAAGUGCCUGUUCGGGUGUUCGAGACUGAGGAGGUAGCUCCUCCGGUCUUUGAAUAAGCCGCCUCUGGGAUUUAAAAAAAGGGGAACCCUGGCCACCGUGGUUACGCUGGCGUGAUCUUUCACUUCCUUGAAGAGGAGAGCGAUGGAGACGUGAGAUUGGUCCUCACUCAACCCUGCUGUUUCCAAUGUCCUGCCUGGAUGGCGAGCCAGUGUAAUGGAUGCUCUAGAGAUAGGAAGCGGUGAAAUUAAAGCAUGCAAUUCAAUACAAAAGAAUAACUGAACCAGCGACUGUGACUAUUUCCCUGGCCUCUUGCCCUCUAGUGGCAAAAAGUUGUUCCUGUGGGGGAAACCUGCUCGGUCAAAUGGACCAGGGGUCAAAUGGUCUGUUUCUAGUGGUACAUCCCCAAGUCUUUGCCAUAAGCAGGGGUUUUAUUCAUGGUCAGUGCUGACCCAGUGGGCUGCAGUUGUUAUUUUAGAUCCUAAUUUAAACAUAAAUAGUAGUUUGAAUUAAGUGUGCCUAUUGAUUUGAAGAUCCUUGAUUUUUGUCAACAUGAUACAUACUGAAAAAAUGAGAGGUGCGUGUGAGA